UUUUGGAGCAAUUGGUGGAAUUAAGUCACGGAACUGAAAUACGUAAAUGUGCUAUAAGGGAGCAAUCAUGGUCUAAUUGAAGGUACUAUUUUGGCAUUUCACUGGAGGGAUUGAGGAAAAAUCACAAAAAAAAAACUCAGGAUAGCUAGCAUCCUGGCCAAGAUUCAAAAUGGGCACCUCAGAAGCACCACCACUUUCACCAACUUGCUCAGUGAAGAAUCAUAUGGCAGUGAUCACAAGUAAAUUUGGAACAUUAUGUAUCAGUACCUUCAGACAAGUCUGUUCAGUACUUUCCACCUGCCUUGGUCCAGAAUUAGUAAUUGAACGAGAUCGAGGAUACCAGGGUAUUUUGUGCCGGGAUAGAAGGAUUGGGUCUUGAGGUGUACAUCAGUGUCGUGUGUUAAACGAUUAUAUCAGUUCUAUUAUUAGAAUCAUCAUUUUAUUAUCUUAGUAUUAUUAU